rnacentral:tRNA from 1 species
GGGGAUGUAGCUCAAACAGUAGAGCGCUCGCUUUGCAUGCGAGAGGUACGGGGUUCGAUACCCCGCAUCUCCA